GUGGGAACGUGAACACGUCUGUGACCUAUAGGCGGCUCACCUCUAAAAUGGGCAGAAUAAUAUCCGCUGCGGGGGCCCCGCCAGUGCCCGCAGGGUUGGCACGCAUGAUCUUCCUCUUAAAUUCUUUCAUGACCUAAGAGGGGGUUGUUGCUUCUCAAGUUCCCUCAUUUACCAGGCCCCCUGGAUGGUCUCAAGCUGGGCAGGAAAGUCGGCAGGUUGGCCCCUAGGUCCCUCCCCGUGUGCGGUCUGGCAGAUCACCUUUCCAUCGAAUUUGCAAAUGAAGGAGGCAGCUUCUGGGGUUCCUGGGGUUUUGAAGUGGGAGCAUGCCCAGUGGAAAAGGAGAAAUCAGCGUGUACAUCAAGAACUUGGCAGAGGGCGGCACAAGGCGAGCAUCUAAAACACGCAGCUGUCAUGCCAUCAGCUGGGGUGUCUCCGGUCUCCAUGCACGGGGAGGUGAGGCCCAACACCUGCAGCUGGGGCAGAUCUGGGUUUGCCUAGAAGCUUGUCCCCCAUCUGGGAAGGCCGACGAUCAUCUCUGGACCACGGUGACCAGGCGAGAACCCACUGGCACCCCUGAGCCAUCUCCUCCUCAGACCCCCACCCCACAGGCUUCAGAGCUGGGCAACGUGGUCCCGCCCUGACCCUCUCUUCCAUCCUCUUCUCAUUGGGGUCCCACCCACGCAGCCUCCAGGUGGACCACUUCCUGCUCAGGCCAGAACCAGGGCUUGGAGUCACUGCCCGUCUGCCUUGGGGCUCUGGAGGCCUCUGCCCUCGAGGGUGGAGCUGGUGGUGGAGCGG
rnacentral:lncRNA from 1 species